GGCAUAUAUUGCUGUGGGUUGAAUGCAUAUCAGAUUAUUCAUUCAAAAGUAAAAGUUAUACCCGUUUGGUUAACUAUUCUUGCUCCUGGUUUUUAAGCACUCUGCAUCAAUGAAAGUGUUUGUAUUAUAGGGUAGGUUACACUAAAUCUGAAUGGUAAUCUGAGUUGCCUAAUUUUUGAACUCACUGAUUAUGAAUGUUUGGAGUCUCACAGUAGAUGUGAGAUUUAAUGGCUAUUAUUUUCUUUUGGGUUGGGUUAGUUUUCCACUUGCAAGAAAUGUGUAUAAUAUUACUAAAAAGUAUGUUAUCCAAAUUAAAAAAAAAAAAUAAUUGAUUGAGCUAAUAAAUAGAGCUAAAACGUAUACCAAGUUGGUGAGUUUGAACCUUUAACCUGUAGCCUGAAUUCACAACUUGUUGCACAUGAUGUCUCCUUUUUUUUAUAGUAUUCAUUUCCUCAUCCUGCUAGUGUAGAUUUAUGGUUUGUCAUUGUUUGCGCCAACUGACCACUGGAUUUCUGAAACAGUGGGAUUUAUCCUUCAGACAUCCUUCCGUAUCAAUUACAAGCUUAUGUUUGUGGGACUUACACGUCGCUACCCGAGUCACUAUUAACUAAAAUAAAAGCUGCAGUUGAUG
rnacentral:misc_RNA from 1 species